rnacentral:rRNA from 1 species
CGGUGUUUAACUGGCGUGAUGUGGGACGUCCUACCGGUGGGCUUAGCCUCGCGAGGGGCGGCCCAACUAAUAUCCCGUCGCGGUGCUCCUUACUGAGUGUCGAGUCGGGCCGGUACGUUUACUUUGAACAAAUUAGAGUGCUUAAAGCAGGCUAUCCUCGCCUGAAUACUGCGUGCAUGGAAUAAUGGAAUAGGACCUCGGUUCUAUUUUGUUGGUUUUCGGAACCCCGAGGUAAUGAUUAAUAGGGACAGAUGGGGGCAUUCGUAUUGCGACGUUAGAGGUGAAAUUCUUGGAUCGUCGCAAGACGGACAGAAGCGAAAGCAUUUGCCAAAAAUGUUUUCAUUAAUCAAGAACGAAAGUUAGAGGUUCGAAGGCGAUCAGAUACCGCCCUAGUUCUAACCAUAAACGAUGCCAGCUAGCGAUCCGCCGAAGUUCCUCCGAUGACUCGGCGGGCAGCUUCCGGGAAACCAAAGCUUUUGGGUUCCGGGGGAAGUAUGGUUGCAAAGCUGAAACUUAAAGGAAUUGACGGAAGGGCACCACCAGGAGUGGAGCCUGCGGCUUAAUUUGACUCAACACGGGAAACCUCACCAGGCCCAGACACCGGAAGGAUUGACAGAUUGAUAGCUCUUUCUUGAUUCGGUGGGUGGUGGUGCAUGGCCGUUCUUAGUUGGUGGAGCGAUUUGUCUGGUUAAUUCCGAUAACGAACGAGACUCUAGCCUGCUAAAUAGGCGUACCUUAUGGUAUCGCGAAGGCCCCCGGCUUCGGCCGGUGGGUUUUUACUACCAACGUACAAACAAAUCUUCUUAGAGGGACAGGCGG